AUUUCUCGGAAUUUAGCUUGCUGCUAGAUAUUCAAAUCAUAUAUUUUUAAUGACAAGAAAGAUGCUAAAACUUUCUAGAUGACAGUGGGGGGUACCAUACAAAGAAUGCCCUAGCCCUGUUUCCUAGGAUGUCCAGAUAAGUUGGAGGUAUUGUCUCUUGUUUCUCAAAGCUUGAACCUUUUCUGGCUCUAACUUAGGUGUGGAUUGGGAGUAGAAGAGAAGGCUGCUGAAGCAAUGAAGUUUUAGAAACCAGAGUUAUUUGGAAGAAUUGACUCUGAGCGCAAAAUACUCACUGGCACAAAGCCAACACGAUAACCACUGUACGUAGGAAAUGACUUACUGAAGUGCAUACGCAGAACUAGGCCAGGAGAGUGUGUGUGUGUGUGUGUGUGUGUGUGUGUGUGUGUGUGUGUGUAUACUAGCUAGUCAUGUUAGCAACCACUUUAAAUUCUGAGGACGGAUAGCCACUAAUUCCGGUGUACAUAGGCACAAGUACUUGAGCGAAAACAGUCUAUUAUAAAGCAUAACUUCAAAAAAAGCUCUAAGCAGUCUAUGAAGAUAGGAGUAAGUCUUACACAGAUUGGGUUUGCCUAUUCUUCAUACCAAAUCCUUGAUUCUGAUACUCAGUUACAGGUCACCCACCCAAGCACCUUGAUAUGUAGACACAAGUAGGCGUUCUUUACUUCUGGAUUUGAAAAGAUGACAAAGGGAUUGAGUGGGAAUGAUUAAUUUCAUACUGGGGAAUGAUGAUUGCUGGUUAUAUCACUUACCACACAAUAGAGGUAUUUAAAUGUAACAGCUGUAACCAGCAUAGGAUGGAAUGCUGAUAUCAGACUUAGGUGAUAAGCUUAAAUUGGCAUUGGAAAAGAAGUUUCCAGCUUCGUAUUUCAGUGUAGUCCAGAUUUUUCGACCCCUGAUACUGCUGAUCCUUCUCAGUUAAGGAAGCUUGGUCUCACAUUAUCUGUUUUGAGAGCUCACCAUAUCAUUGUAGAGGUUUCAUGUCAUCCAGUGGAAGUCCUUACAUCUGACAUAAUCAGAUAUGUCUGGAUAAAAACUAGUUGGCCAGAUGCGGUGGCUCACACCUGUAAUCCCAGCACUUUGGGAGGCUAGGGCAGGUGGAUCAUGAGGUCAGGAGUUUGAGACCAGCCUGACCAACGUGGUGAAACCCAGUCUCUACUAAAAAUACAAAAAUUAGCUGGGCAUGGUGGUAUGCACCUGUAAUCCCAGCUACUCAGGAGGCUGAGGCAGGAGACUCGCUUGAACCCAGGAGGCAGAGGUUGUGGUGAGCCAAGAGCAUGCCACAGGACUCCAGCCUGGACAACAGAGCAAGACUCCAUCUCCACCACCCCCCAAAAAAACUAGUUCGUCUAGCUAAAAAAAAGUUAUUUGAGUUAUACAUUUUGAAUUUUUUAAAUCUCAACUUAAAAGUCCACUCAUUUUCUAGUCUUUGGGAAAAGCAGAGUCAAAGCCUUGUCCUGAGUAUGGUGCCACUGUUAGAUUUUUUUUUCUGUAUCACUAGAACAAGCGGAAUCAAUAAUGCAUUAUUCAGUAUUUCCAGUUUUUGUCUCUUAAAAAUAGCCAGAGACCUUUGCAUUCAAACAUGUGCAAAAAAGUGCAGCUCCUCCUAGACUCUUGGAAUUUGCUUGAAUCUUCUGCCAUUGUCUCCCCCACAUCUAAUCCAAUAGCUGAUUUUUUUCAUCUUUUGUGUGACUUGCUUUUAUUUAGCCUUUCCAAAGCAUUCAUCUUACUCAAUUAGCCACUUAAGAAAUACCAGGUUUGGUCUUGUCCUCCAUUUAAUCAAUUAAGAUUUUGUUGAAUUAUUUGAUGAUAAUCCACUGAGCUGCUGGGGUGGAAGUGUUUGGAAAGUGCACACUGGUUUUCUAGAAGCACUUGGUGGGCCAUGGGCAUCUAGUGAUAUGUUUUACAGAGAAAAAGCUGAUUAUUUUCAAGAAGUCCUUGGCGUUACAUGUGCACAUGUCCAACACUAACUUUAUUGAAUGGAGUUUUGUUCAAUUGCUCACUACCUCGAUGUAUUUGACAAAAUGCCUACUGUCUGCCAUGUUAACCCUGACAAUUUCUUUUGUCAGUUUUCUCAGCUUUGCAGCAUUCUUGCUAAAACAACAAAAACCCACUCUGUCUAGCUAUAUUCUUUCUGAUAUAGAGAGCUAUUACGGAGGAUUAUAUUAUAUACCCUUUUGACAAGAAGAAACAUUUCAUGAUUGAAGGCUGAGCUGGACAGUGGUCCCUGGAAGCAUGAGUAGUUUCCUGGACCCUCUUGUGUAAUGUGUAAUGAACCUGUACAAGUGCUUCAUCUUGGGCCCAGCUUUAAGGGAACCAAGCUCUCCUGAGAUGAGGAUGUAUGGGGCAAGUAAAGAAGGCCUGUUCUCAUUAACUGUGCGAAACCUGAAGAGUGAGAAGCAGGACGAUGCAGAAAGAAGCUGAGAAAGAAUGUGGCUUCAGGUGAAGGUUCAGCCCGAACCCAGGGGAACGCUGGACUACACUGUGUUUCUUGCCUUGAAGCCACCACUGGGGCAGGGAGUCUCGAAGCAAUGUAACCGGAGAACUGCAGCUUCUAUCAUCCCAGUGCAAUCCUCCAAAGAAAGAUGAAGUUAUGUGAGCAGGUAGCGGCAGCUAAGCAACGCAUGCAUGAAAACUAUAUCAAUAAAAGCAGCAAAAGGAAACCUAGGUAGAUGAUUAACUGCAAAUUCACAGAAUAUCAGAUAGCAAACGUGUGGUAUUUUUAAAAUAACUACCUUUUUUUUCCAAAGGUUUUUUGAUUUGCAAUUGGUUAAGGAAGAGAAGCUUUAAAUAACUACUUUUACGGGACCCAACUUAUGAGAAUCCCUAAAUUUUCUGGGUUUCUCUUGUCUCUUGGGUCCUCAACUGGUUAGACAAAAAAAGAGACCAGGCCCAAUUUCCAGAUUUCACCAGCUGACCCGUCUUCCCUGGGGAGGCCAUGUUCAGCAUGUCCUCCAUUAUGCCUACCAGCACGGGAAGUGCAGCGGCUGCAGAGUCCAGACGUGACCCAAGGAAACUCAGACGGCAGGUUCACCUUUCCUGUGUUUCCAGACUCAAGCACAAAGCAUCAUGCAGUUAAAAUGUCAUUCAGUGAGGCAUGGCAUUUGGCUUUUGUAGUGGUUGUCCCAAGGGGCCAGAUGCACAACCAGGAAGAACACAGGAGUUAAUGCCUGUGGGGGGAACUUUUACCAGUGGGAGGCAACUUACAGAUAAAUUCCUUUUGUUCUUUUCCUCUGAUGGAUUGUUGGGAGCUGCUGUGGUUCUUGAGAGCAUGUCUAGAGAUUGUCCCUUGUGACUGAGCAAGUGGCUCUAUUUUCCUUUCUGAAGCUGUGGCUGGCAAAUCUGCUUUCCGUUCCUCCUCGUGUCCGCGUUCCACUCUUCCUCGUGCCCGCUUUCCAUUCUUCCUUGUUUCACCUCCCCUUUCCCUUCAGUCUCCCUGCCCUGCCAUUGCACCUCUUUACCUACCCAACGCGUGUUAGCACAUCAUCUUAGCCUGAUUUCCAAAAUAAACAACAAAAACAGAAACAUACCAAAACAGAACUGAAGGCAAAGACAGUGCCCCUAGAGAUGGAAGUUUCAGUACAUGUGUAAGUCCCCUACGUGGUGGAAUUUCACUGUAGAACAUCAGGAGAGAGGUUAUGGGUAAAUAGAGAGUAAUCCUGAUAUUGUUCUUUUGUUCUUUUUCUAUCUAAACCAUCAAUCCUAUUAAAGUCCAAGUGAAUGCUGAGGAGCAGCUCCAGGAUGCUACAAAGAGUUUUACUUUGUUAAGAGUCUUUUACAAUAGCAAAGACCUGGAACCAACCCAAAUGCCCAUCGAUGAUAGACUGGAUUGGGAAAAUGUGGCACCUAUAUACCAUGGAAUAUUAUGCAGCAAUCAAAAAUGUUGAGUUCGUGUCCUUUGUAGGGACAUGGAUGAAUCUGGAGAACAUCAUUCUCAGCAAACUGACACAAGAACAGAAAAUGAAACACCGCAUAUUCUCACUCAUAGGCGGGUGAUGAACAAUGAGAACACAUGGACACAGGGAGGGGAGCACUACACACUGGGGUCUAUUGGGGGGAAUAGGGGAGGGACAGCGGGGGGGCAGAGCUGGGGAGGGAUAGCAUGGGAAGAAAUGCCAAAUGUGGGUGAAGGGGUUGGAAGGCAGCAAAACACACUGCCAUGUGUGUACCUAUGCAACUGUCUCUCAUGUUCUGCUCAUGUCCCCCAAACCUAAAACACAAUAAAAAAUUAAAUAAAUAAAUAAAUAAAAAUAAAGAGUCUUUUACAAACUAGCUCAGCACAGCAAGUAAAACAAUGCAGAGGAGAAUGUAGCACCUAGAAGCUGCAUUUCCUCAAAGGAAUACAGAACAUUUGUGAACUGGCGUGCUGAUGAUAGUGAUGCAAAACAUUCUUCUUUUUCAAAAAAGAGAAUCAACUUGUUCUGUGGCUCUGGCCAGAUUGAGACCAGCAGUUAUGAGGCCAGAACUAGUCUUUUUAAAACAAUAUUGACAGAUAACAUAUAUUUUUACUGUGUACAACAUGAUGUCGUAAGAUACAUACACAUUAUGGAAUGAUUUUGAGUGUUACUGAUGUGCAGGCUAGAGAAUCUGUCCCAACUGCAAGUGAUGUUGCCAUCAUCAUUGUCACAAUUAGUACUGAUGGCUGUGGUCGAUUUAGUCUGUAGCUAUCGAGAUGGGUGGUAUGGGGUAGUUGUUCUGUUUUUGCUAUUUUAUGCUUGUAGAAAUGGUCUCAAUUUUCUCUUCUGAUUAGUCUUAGCAUAUGGGUUUCUUUUUUGCCAUAUUCUACUGCAGAGGCUGCCUCUCUCUGCCUUUCUCCCUCACAUCUGGAAUCCAGCCAAAAUGUACUAGAACAAGAUGCUUCUCACAUUUCAGCCCUUUUGUAAGGGUGCUGAUUGCAACUUGGGUAACUUCAGUAUAAUCUAAGGUGGAAGCUUUCUGCUUAUUUUGAGGAAAAAAAAUAAAUGUCUAAAAAUAAAACGUAGGCAUAAAAAUAGGGCCAAAUACUCAUUAACUGCCUCACUUAGCUGAAUGCUGAAAUUAUUUCAACAGCGCUAAAUCAAGCCUUUGUGUGGAAGAGGCUGGGUAUUUUUUUAAAUUUGUAGUAUUUUAUCUUAGAUGAUAAAUGAGUUACUGUAAUUUGUCAUUUUAUUCAAAACUUGAAUUAAAUAGUCCUCAAAGCCUCCAUUUUCAGCUUGUGCUCAUGCGGACCCUUGAAUUAGAGCACUUGUGUUCACAAGUCUCCUGGAAUAUAUUCUGUGGGCUGCCGUGGGAAAGGUUGGGGUGACAGACAGGACCAGGAGCCGGAGUAUCCAGGGCUUGGGAUGCUGGGGUUAAGAAUUUGGAUCUUAUUCUAAGUGUGGUGGGAAGCCACUGGAGGGAUUGAAUUAUGAGGAUAUUAUAGAAUGACUUCUAUUUUCAAAGUGUGACUCCUGACUGCUGUACUGAUAGUAGAUUGGAAGGAGACAACAGUAGGAAAAGGGUAACUAGCCAAAUGCCUAUUUGUAGAUAUCCAGGUAAGUGAUGGUGGCUUUGGAGCAGGAUGGUAAUAGUAGAGUUGGAGAGAAGUGGACAAAUAAUGGAGUUUAUCUAAUUCAUUAACAACAACAAAAAGAUUGAUUAAUAGAUUAGAUAUGGGGCGUGAGAGAAUGGAAGAGUCAGGAUUGAUUCCUAAGUUUCUGGCCCAAACAACCGGAAGAAUUUGGUACUAGUUAUUGAGAUGAAGACUGGAGGAAGAAGAGGAUACUUUUUUGCUGUUUUGCUGUGUUGAGGGUGGGUCAUAGAGCAAUGGAAAAGGGAAUGAGCUGGAAGUAAGGGCUCAUGUUAAUUUUGGGCAUCUAAAUGAACCGUUCAGAAGAACAGUUGAAUGUAUGAACUUGACCCAGUAGAUACGUUUGAGAAUCCUUGAUGUGAAAAUUACAUUCAGUCAUGAGACAAACUCGCCUAAGGAGAGAGUAGAGAGAAAGUAAAACACCUGAGAACAUUCCAUAUUUCCACAUAAAUAGGGCAAGCAGAAGAGAACCCAUAACGGACUAAGAAGGAACAGCAGUGAAGAAGGAAAAACUAGGAGAGUCUGAUGUUCCGGAAACCAAGAGAAGACUCUUAACAAAGGAAGCAUGACUAAUAUGUCCUGCACAAGACAUGAAGGCACAGAGUGUACUGCCUUUCUUCCUCAUUCUCACAUCAUCUCUGAGUGGAUUUCAAGACACAUUCCUUCUGGCUUUCUUCAGCAAUAUUUAUGUGAAUGAACAAACCGUCGUUGGAAGACUUGAUGGAGAUGUAAUCCUCCCUUCCUCAUUUGAGAGUGGAUCUGAAGUGGUAAUACACUGGAAGGAUCAAGAUAGCUACAACGUUCACAGUUACUUCAAAGGCAGUGACUAUUUGGACAACCAAGAUCCCAGAUAUGCAAACAGGACGUCCCUUUUCUAUAAUGAGAUUCAAAAUGGGAAUGCAUCUCUAUUUUUCAGAAGAUUAAGCCUUCUGGAUGAUGGAAUUUAUACCUGCUAUGUAGGAACAAAACAAAGCAUUACAAACAAAGUGGUGCUCAAGGUGGGAGUUUUCCUCACACCCGUGGCGAAGUAUGAAAAGAAGAACACAUAUAGCUUCUUAAUAUGCAGCGUGUUAUGUGUUCACCCUCGUCCAGUUAUCACGUGGAAAAUGGACAACACACCUAUCCCUGAAAACAAGAGGGAAGAAACAGGGUCUUUGGGCCCUUUUUCUGUUAACAGCACACUGAAUGUUACAGGAUCAAAUUCAUCUUAUGAAUGUACAAUCGAAAAUUCACUGCUGAACCAAACAUGGACAGGGCGCUGGACAAUGAAAGAUGGCCUUCAUAAAAUGCAAAGUGAAAACGUUUCACUCUCGUGUCAACUUGUAAAUGAUUAUUUUUCACCAAACCAAGACUUCAAAGUUACUUGGUCCAGAGUGGGAAGUGGGACUUUCUCUGUCCUGGCUUGCUAUCUGAGCUCCUCACAGAAUACAACUAUCAAUGAACCCCGAUUCUCAUGGAACAAAGAGCUGAUAAACCAGGGUGACUUCUCCAUGAAUUUGAUGCAUCUUCAUCUUUCAGACAGUGGGGAAUAUUUAUGCAAUAUUUCUUCAGAUGAAUAUACUUUACUCACCAUCCACACAGUGCACGUAGAAUCAAGCCAAGAAACAGCUUCCUGUGACAAAGGUUUACAGAUUUUGGUGUCCUGUCUGAUUUCGGCAGUUCCCGUAGCUCUUCUGAUUUUGGCAGCUCUUCGGAUUUAUCUGGUACAACUUUGCAGAGAAAGAGAUCCUGUCUGUGCUGAUGCGAGAGCUACCAAUGCAUCUGGUAAUGAAAAUGAGAGCAUGCCCCUUUCAGGAUGUCCAGCCAGUACAGGAAAUGAGACAGGACAAAACCGUGACAACUCAUGACAAGCAUCCUCCAUAUCCAGUGCUUCAUCUCCCCUUUCUUCACUGCAAUUCCAGGCAAUGGCCUGUCAGACUGGACAAUUCUACCACUGCAAAGACUUGUAACCGUUUUCUAGUAUCAGAUUUAUUUUUCAAGACAUAAGGAUCAUUCGCUGACCCACUACCUGCAUUGAGUAUAAAUGCCUGGAUAUUAAGGAUUCCAAUUUAACGUCGAAAGGAGCUGUCUCAUUCAUUUACAUUCCCAUUGCAGUCAGCCCAGGAGGUUACAGUGAGCUGUCCACUAAGAAUCGGAAGAAAUGCAUCGCUAGGCUGAUUCCCAAUCUGAUCAACUGAUAAUGGGUGAGAGAGCAGCUGUUGUCCUUUCAAAGCAGGGGAUGCUUAUUCUUUUUGAACCUGAAAAACAGAAUGUCAGUGUGUUCUGUGAAUUUCCUGUGAUUUUCACCAGUGGAACACAUGCCCAGAACCAAGCUGAGUCCUUUCCAGAGCUUUUAAAGAUGGGGAGGAGAUCCAAGAUGGCCAAACAGGAACAGCUCUGGAGUGAAGUUCCCAGCGAGAAGAAUGCAGAAGGUGAGUGAUCACUGCAUUUCCAAACAAGUUUUACUGCCCACAGACCAGGAGAUGCCAGGCUGAAAAGUGCCAUGAGUUUCCAGCACAGCUGUUUCAGCUGGUGUUGCUGCUCUCUGCACAAAACUCACACAAAUCCAGGUGGCUGUUUCAACAGGCUCCUGGAAUGCCUGGGAUAUAGAGUUGCCCAUUCAAUGGAAAAAAGGGGGCUGAAACAGGGAGCCAGGUGAUCUGGCUCAGCGGGUCCCACUCCCAACAAAGACCAGCAAUCUGAAACGCUCUGGAUUGAGAGUUUCACAGCAAGGGCAGCUGGACCCGGGACAGUCCAGCUUGAUGGGGGGGAAGGGCAUGAGCCAUUACCAAGGCAGUCUACCUUUACUGAGGCAGACCACCAUUACCGAGGCAAUCUGCCUUUACUGAGGCAGUCUGCCAUUACCGAGGCAGUUCUAACAGGAAGUUCAUGUAGCAGCUGGGCAGAGCCCGCAGCAACUCAGUAAUGUCUCUGCUGGCAGACUGUGGCUAGACUACCAGCUUGCUGGGCAGGGCAUCUCUGAAAAAAGGCAGCAGCAUGUCAGGAACUUAUAAAUAAAAGCUUCACCAUCCCAGGACACAGCACCUGGGGAAAAAGGCAUUUAUGAGUUCCACUGCAGCAGACUUAAAUGUAUCUUCCCAGAAGCUCUGAAGAGAACAAUGGAUCUCCCAGAUCAGCACUUGAACUCCUAUAAGAAACAGACUGUCUCCUUUAUCAGCUCCCUGACCCCUGUAUAUCCAAAGAGAGACCUCAUAAAGGAAAGCUCAGACAGACAUCUGGCAGGUACCCUUCUAGGAUGAAGAUAACAGAAGAGAAACUGGUAGCAACCCUCACUGUUCUUCAGCCCCCAUGGGUGAUCCCCAGGCAAGCAGGGUCUGGAGUGGACCUCCAGCAGGCCUACAGCAGAGGGGCCUGACAGAAAAAACUAAGAAACAGAAAGAAAUAACUUCAACAUCAACAAAAAGGAUGUCCACUCAGAGACCCCAUCUGAAAGUCACCAACUACAAAUACCACAGUUAGAUAAAUCCAUAAAGACGGGAAGAAAGCAGAGCAAAAAGGUUGAAAACACCAAAACCCAGAAUGCCUCUCCUCCUCCAAGGGAACACAACUCUUCACCAGGAAGGGAACAAAGCUGGAUGGAGAAUGAGUCUGAUAAAUUGACAGAAACAGGCUUCAGAAGGUGGGUAAUAACAAACUUUUCUGAACGAAAAGAACAUGCUCUAACCCAAUGCAAAGAAACUAAGAAACUCGAAAAAAGGUUUCAAGAAAUGCUAAUGACAAUAAACAACUGAGAGAAGAAUAUAAAUGACUUGAUGUGGUGCUGAAAAACACAAGAGAACUUCACGAAGCAUAUGCAAGUUUCAAUAGCCGAACUGACCAAGCAGAAGAAAGGAUAUCACAGAUUGAAGAUCAACUCAAUGAAAUAAAAUGAGAAGGCAAUUCUCUCCGUCACAUUCAGGUACACCUACAUUUGAUACCUAUCAAAAAUGAUACCUAGCAAAAAUGUAGGUAUACCUGAACGUGACAGAGAGAAUAAAUCCAAGCUGGAAAAUACUCUUCAGGAUAUUAUCCAGGAGAACUUCCCCAACCUAGCAAGGCAGGCCAAUAUUCAAGUCUAGGAAAUUACAGAGAACAUCACAAAGAUAUUUCUCAAGAAGAGCAACCACAAGGCACAUAAUCAUCAGAUUCACCAGGGUUGAAAUGAAGGAGAUAAUGCUAAGGGCAGCCAGAGAGAAAGCUCAGGUUACCCACAAAGGGAAGCCCAUCAGACUCACAGCAGAUCUCUCUGCAGAAACCCUACAAGCCAGAAGAGAGUGGGGGCCAAUAUUCAACAUCCUUAAAGAAAAGAACUUUACCUAGAAUUUCAUAUCCAGCCAAACUAAGUUUCAUAAGCAAAGGAGAAAAAAAUCCUUUACCAAGAAGCAAUUGCUCAGAGAUUUCAUCACCACCAGGCAUGUUUUACAAGAGCUCCUGAAAGAAGCACUAAACAUAGAAAGGAACAACCAGUACCAGCCACUCCAAAAACCUACCAAAUGGUAAAAAGGAUUGACACAAUGAAGAAACUGCAUCAACUAACGGGCAAAACAGCCACCUAACAUCAAAAUGCCAGAAUUAAAUUCACACAUAACAAUAUUAACCCUAAAUGUCAAUGGGCUAAAUGUACCAAUCAAAAGACACAGACUGGAAAAUUGGAUAAAAAGCCAAAACCCAUUGGUGUGCUAUAUCCAGGAAACCCAUCUUACAUGCAAGGAUACACAUAGGCUUAAAAUAAAGGGAUGGAGGAUGAUUUACCAAGCAAAUGGAGAGCAAAAAAAAAGCAGGAGUUGCAAUUCUCAUCUCUGAUAAAAUACUUUAAGCCAACAAAGAUCAAAAGAAGGACAUUAUAUAAUGGUAAAAGAAUCAAUGCAAUGAGAAGAGCUAACAAUCCUAAAUAUAUACACACCCAAUACAGGAGCACCCAGUUACAUAAAGCACUGGUCAUUAGAGAAAUGCAAAUCAAAACCACAUUAAGAUACCAUCUCACACCAGUUAGAAUGGUGAUCAUUAAAAAAUCUGGAGACAACAGAUGCUGGAGAGGAUGCAGAGAAAUAGGAACACUUUUACACUGUUGGUGGGAGUAUAAAUUAAUUCAACCAUUGUGGAAGACAGUGUGGUGAUUCCUCAAGGAUCUCGAAAUGAAAAUUCCAUUUGACCCAGCAAUCCCAUUACUGUGUAUAUAUCCAAAGGAUUAUAAAUCGUUCUAUUUUAAAGUCACAUGUACAUGUAUGUUCAUUGCAGCACUGUUUACAAUAGCAAAGACCUGGAACCAACCCAAAUGUGCAUCAAUAAUAGACUGGACAGGGAAAAUGUGGCACAUAUACACCAUGGAAUACUAUGCAGCCAUAAAAAACGAUGAGUUCAUGUCCUUCACAGGGACAUAGAUGAAUCUGGAAACCAUCAUUCUCAGCAAACUGACCCACAUGUUCUCACUCAUAAGCGGAUGUUGAACAAUGAGAACACGUGGACACAGGGAGGGGAGCAUCACACACUGUGGUGUGUUGGGGGAGAGUAGGGAGGGACAGUAUAGAGUAGAGAGGUUGGGGAGGGAUAACAUGGUGAGAAAUGCCAGAUAUAGGUGAUGGGGAUGGAGGCAGCAAACCACAUUGCCAUGUAUGUACCUAUGCAACAAUUCUGCAUGAUCUGCACAUGUACCCCAGAACCUAAAGUAAUCAUAUAUACAUACAUAUAUAUAUAUAUAUAUACUUAUUUAUUUAUUUGCAGGAAAAAGAAAAGCUUUCAAAGAGAAAAACAAAUUUCUCAUUCAUGCAAUGACAUCAGCCCUAAACAAACAUGAUUUAAGACUUAGAAUAGAGUUGAACACCUGCCAUACCUUUUUUCCAAACUCUCUUGCUUUAAUCUUGAGUUUAUUGACUUGAGAUUCUGCCACCUCUGCCCUUUCCUUCACUUCAUUCAACUCAUGUUGCUGCUUCUUGUACUUGGAUAGGUAUUGAUUGGCUUGUGCUUCCUAUAAAAAUAAUAAAGAAAUCUCCAUGCCUAUCUAGUCAGUUUUUUUUUCUGUUCUGACAUGAGAACGUUGAAUAAUGUGAAAAGAAUCUAAACUUCUCAGUAUGGAAUGAGAGAUCUUUUUUUGGUAUGAUACAUUGGGAUUCAGACUUUCUAGCAGACAUAAAAUCCAUUUUUUGGUAACUUUUGUUCCCUGGAAAUUCAGAACCUAGUUAGCACUUUUCAUAACUGGACACAGCAGAGCUCUCACCGAAGGAAUAACCACAGCUGUUUCAUCAUCAGUUUAACAUCCUAUUCUACCUCUGAGUAGAGAGGGCUUGUGUUUAAAAUUAUAUGGGUCAACAGGUAAUUAUUAGACCUUGGGCUAGAACAGGUAGUGUUUUAGGCCAAACCACUGAAAUAAUUAAAAUGCCUCAAGAGUGAAUACUAAGGAUAGAUCAAUACGUGUGGCACUUAUCAAUCCCCUGUAGCUAUAGAUUCUGAUCCAGGGAUGGCAAGUACGUUUCAAUUUAUGGGUUUUGUCCACAACUGUAUCCAGGACCAUCAAGAACAAAUACUGUGAACCACGUUUAUGUUCACCCAAGGUUUUGGGGUGAGGGAGGUCCCACGGUGGACUACCUUGCCAAAAACUGGCCUUCUCUACAGGACCCCCGACUUUUCCAUGGCUUAUGUCUUGCAGUGUGCCUGUUUGGAUGAAGCCACAGAGGUAAAGGAGAAAGCUGUGGCUUCCCGGAGGGAAAAGCCAUACGCGUUAUUGCCACGGGUGAGAAUUCUAACUUAAGGAGAAAAACGAGAAUGGGCAGACUCUAAGCUGAGCUGGCCCUCUCUGACAAGCUGCUUGCUGAGUUCAGGGCCACAGAUCUCCCUUAAUCAAAACAACGCUGGGAAAUCCAUGACGCUCCAACGUCCCCAGGCACUCACCGCCACCUCGACUUGCUGCUUGUAAUUUUGUACUUUCAGCUGAAGUGUAUCCAUCUGAAUUUGCAUCCUGCUCAGAUUCUUCUUGUCUUCCUCUGCCUGCAAUGCAUAGCCAUGUAUGGGAAGGUGAUUCAGAAGACCCAGCUGUCUACAUUGGGAUAGCCUCAUGUUGGGAAAUAAAGGUUAGGGAACUUUAUUAAACUUCAUCUCAGAGUUGUGAUUUUAAAAAUGGGUUUAACUCACCCAAGUUCCAAGAAAUUAAUAAAUAGAACAGUCAGCUCUAACCGUCAUUUGUCCUGAUCCACCAACCUUUGCUGAAAUGAGAGUUAAAGCCGUUAGGCUCUGUUUGGUCUUCAGUCUUUCCAGCUCAACCAAGCUGUAUCUGCAUACUUAAAAUGAGUAAUUAAUUAUCUACUGCUAUAUUGUACUUUAAGGUGGUGGGGCAGUGCAUUCCAGAUGAUAAGAACAGCUUUAGCUGUAGCUAAAUCAAAAGCUAUAUAUUUAGCAGGAAUGAACUGCAUUAUUAUAAAAGCCACAUAUUCAAAACUGAAAAACAGUUGCUCCCCAUUCAAAACAACUCUUCCUUUAAACUUGCUAAUUGACUCUUGGCUUUUCAUAAUGGAACACUUCUGACGCAGGCAUCAGCAGACACAGCAAAGAAGAUUCCACAAACUGUGGGAAGCUUGGUGUGCCCAUUCUUGCUGCCUCAAUUACAAUUCAGCCUUGGGCUGGAGAGAGGAAGUCUGGUGGGAUACUGUUUCUCAGCUGUGCCCCACAGAGCCUUCGGUAUUCCAGGGAGAAAGGAGGAUGGAUGCAGGCAGGUACAUAGGGCUCUGCCUGCUCCCUCUUUCCUCACACCCCUUUAACUGGAGUAUUGCCAUGUUAGCGCUAUUGAACUUUUCAAAGGAAGAAAAUAUCUCAAUUUGCUCAGGGUUGAGAAGCUGAUUCAAUCAAGAAAGAUCUCCUGCUGCUGCUUAAACUUUUUGCUGGCUCCCUUUGACCUAUUCCAUCAGGUAUCAACUUUUUUGGCAGCUUUCAUGUUCCCCCUACUUACCUUCCAUUCCCCGAGCACCACAAACCCAUUACAGCCAGGUCACAUUCCCCUGCUUCCCCAGAGCUCCUGCUUAUUCUGUCCUCCUUAGGUUUAGCUAAGCUGUUCUCAUCAUCUGGAAUGCACGCACCCCCCUUAAAGUACCAUAUGGAAGUAGAUAUUAAUAAUUACUAAUAUUAAGCAUUGGGAGGCAGGGAUAAAUAUAUAUGAAAGAACCUAGUUGGGGAGCUGAGACAAGUCUGGUUCAAAUAAAACCCCUUCUUUGUUUUUAUCUGCCUAUCCCUCUACUUGUCAGGUUUAUAAAAUUCAAAGAUUCAUAGCAGUAUGUGCUUACAGUAAAUUCUAAAAUCAAUAUUGAAUUGCCAAUAAUCAGUUCACUGAGAGGAGAGUAAACUGGUGGUAAAGGAGGCCACUGAGAAGAAAAGUGGAAAAAGCUAGAAGUGGUUGCUGACGUUACUGACCUUCCUCCCGCUCGGGAAGGCAAAGCCAUUGACGUUAGACCUAGGUUCCCGUCUCAGCUCUGCGGCAUUGAGUAACUGAGGUCAUGGCUAUGCACUUCCUAGAUUUCCCUUCAAGAAAAUAAGUUGCCAUUCAGCCGUGAGAAGUGCAGUUACCUGAUAACCUCCAACUGCAGUGCCUUUGGGACCUGCCACAACAUUAGCACCGAGGCCACACACUUCCCAGGCAACCCCCAGGCAAUAGCUGGGCAUAGUGGAGUCACUAGAGUCUGGCCAUUUCUGCCCAACAUGGGCGUCCUUUCUGGGUAACCUUUGUGUUGGAGACUUGCCCAGAGCUGCGCUACAGUCUGAGGCUCUUCCCAUCUCCUCUUCCUCCCUCAGCCUGGCCGUUUACGUCUCUGCCCCAUCCUGCUUGCUUACAUCUUCAUCUUUUGUAGAUGUGACUUCUGAUAGAUCUCCUGUACAUCUAACUCUAUCCUGGCGUUUGGUUCUGAGAGAACACUUUCAACACAGCAAGUUAACCAAAUUGUAUGUCCUUGUCCCUAAAAAUGAUACUAUAUUAUCGAUAGAUGUGUAAAGAUUAAAUAUUACCUACACAGAUUUCUGUGUAGGAUGUAGGAGGCAGUUGAUGGGAGAACCUAGCAGGUGGGUGGAGAGUGAGGGGCAGAGGAACUAUCUUGACCUUCUAUAGUAAUUACAAGUACUUAAUCUUAUGUUCUGCUUUAUAGCACAUUUUUCUAGGUGCUAGAGACAGAGAAAUAGACAAGUUUCCAAAUGCUAGGGGGAUAUAAAGGAGAGGGUAAAUGCCGCGUGGGGAUCAGCCAUAGAACUGCCAUGGAGUGGGGUCACACUUGACUCCUUUCCAGAGUAGAAUCUUCCCAGAGGACUUUUCCUAAGAAAACCUUAGUUGUGUCCCUUUCAAAAUGACAUUUUUAAUUGUACCUAGGAAUGGGCUUUCACCAAACACCCUGCCUCCUUGGUUAUUUUGGUGGUUAUUUGGUGGUUAUUUUGAUGAUUGAAUUGACUCAGCAUUAACCUUUAACAUUUUCAAACCAAGUAACAGGAAAUGUGGUGUCCUCUAAUGUCUCUUUAAACUUAGAGGCGUUAGCCUAAUAGAUAUUAGCUGAUUUGAUGGCAGAAAACACUUGGAAGAAAUUAAUCAAUGCACCUCGUGCUAGUACAUGAGAAACGCUAUGAUUACUACAAUGAAGAAACAGAAGGAAGACACGAUAGAACAAGAAUGCAUUCCAUGGGACAAUGAAAACCAAAAAAAUAUAACCUUGGUUUUUUUGUUCUAUAAUGAAGUUGUUUACAGAACAAAACAAUAUUAAUAAUCAAUGGGAAAAUACAAAGAAGAAAAAGCCAGACAUGAAAGCAGUAUUUCAGUCCAUCAACGUGGGUGGCUUCUCCACCCUCCUCAAAAGAAGAGUAGAAUUGCAACCCUUUAUGUUCCCAAGGUGUUUACUUACUUAGCCACACAGACCAUGGGCCCAGUCCUCACUGGCUUUGAUAGACCUAGCAUGGUCUAAAGAAGUGUCAGACCAACUCAUCUUACAAAAGGAGCCACUUCAUAAUAAAAGAGCUGUGCAAGUAGCUCAUUUCAUCUUAAUUAGCCCAAGAUGAUGCUUCUGAAUUGCUGUGCCUUCUUAUCUAUCCUUUCUGCUGCAAGGGAAGAAGAUUUUGACAUCUCUAACAACCCAGCCUCAGGAACCAGAAUGAGGACUGGCAGAUCUUUCAUUGGAAUUGUCGAAGAAGCUGUAAAAAUGGGUGCCUAAAAUGAAUUCGCCUCUGUAUUGGAA